rnacentral:lncRNA from 1 species
AGCCCGCCUGCCAGCCUGGGUUUAGGGUUGUUUAUUGUGGCCUGUAAAGUGUCUCCUUUACAUGAUGCCACCUUGAUAUACAAGCCUCGCCCUAGCAGUGACCACACACAUCAGCCUGCUGCAUUUUGUACCAAGUGCCCUCACCAACCCAUGUCAACUGCCUUAAAACUAAUAUAAAUAAGUAUGUAAACAUCCCGAAGGUCACCUGCCUUGUGUUCCCAGUCCAACUCACCAACAACACCAUACUCAGUUAGCCCUCUGCUUCCCUACUCCUUGGCACUCUCCAGCUGAGUCUCCGUGCAUUCAAAGCCCACCACAGUCUUGCUCUCCUGGUCUGCCACUGUCUACAACACUAUAUUACGUCUGUGCCAUUAACCCAAGCCUGUCAUAUGAUGUCUAAAUGGUAUGAAUGUGUCAAACGUGCAACAACAACCACUGGCGUGUCUGCUGGGCAUGACGUCUCCCACCACCUUGACACCCGUCUCCACUGCAGUCGGCACAUCACCCGCCUCCACAGCAGCCGCCACUGGUGCCACCGCGCCCGUCUCCAACUCUAGUGCCGGACAGCUCGUGUCAUGCUAGCUCCUGUAGUUCUGCCUCCACUGGCUGCACCUGCAUGCACGCGUGCACACAUGUGAACACACCCUGCACUCCUGCCGCAAGGUGCCAAUGCCAAUGCAAGGCUGCCGGCCAAGAACAGAGUGCUUGGUAGUGCACCGGACCUAUCUCAUGAAGCGGGCCUGUAUGUGUUUCGGUGUGUAUGCCCACUGGUGAUGCGGACACCCACCGUUGCUAAACACAAUGUUGGAGGUGUGGCGGCAGUCCAGCCAGCCGACCUGGGGGAAGGGGCGUGUGGCAGCAGGCGGGUAUGUGACACGGACUAGAGGUACCAGGAAGUGAUUUAGACAUACAUACCAUACAGCGCUAGUAAGGGAGGCAGCAAACAGUCAUCUCUUGAAGGCUGGGGCUCCGACUAGCAAACACAACGUGAGUGAAGGGGUUGCGAACCAUCUUGCGCCAGGGUUGCAGCCGCUGGGGACCUGCAUCUACCUGCAUCUACGGCAUCUCCUCAAACAUAUUUCCCAUGGACUCACCCUCGAACGGCUCCUAGAAUCGUCCUCAAGAAUCGCAUGGCGGAGGAUCCUGCAAGUACACAUACACACACGGGGUUGUGACAUAUGGCCGGGCGGGCAAUCCAGGCUGCAGGUUUAAAGCCUCCCGUCUUCAUUUUAACCUGUGGACUAACCUGUGGACUUCCGUGAGGCGCGACAACGGUCGUGCUGAACGUGAUGUUGAAUGUAUGGCGUUUUUGACCAAGACUUCCCCAUUAAAACAUUAAAAGCACAGCUGAUCAUUUAUGAGGCACAGUUGUAAGUCUCAUGUGAUAGCUGGCUUCAGCUGACGUCUCAGCAGCAGCGUCGCCGAGCUGGUCAACGAGCGGUCAGCAGCGCGAGAACUCGCGUCCCAAGCCAACAAAGCAGCCUCAGCCACCAGCUCUUGUUCUACUGACAUUACAACUAGCCUUAUUUUUGUGUUUACAAAGCAAAAUAGCGACUGGCGAGGGGCGGAAUGAGGGAGAGCGAGCAAACGCUCUAUAAUGAAAUGUAGUAUAUAAAUUAUAUGUAUACCGGUAUAGUUCAGUUAUCGUAACAGCAUAUACAAAUUGGCUGCUCGAACUGAAGUUGAAGGCCCGCAGGAACCCCAUGCAGAGGCUAGCGUUUUCCCCUCAGACCCCAACGGAAGGCCUGCGUAAUGUACUGGGAAAGAUGUCAGCUUUUAUCUUAGUGUACUAGGAAGGAUGUAAGAAGGAGAAAACGGCCUCAACCCGGUGAUGUAAAGUACUCUACACUCCUGGACGGCUUUGGGUGUUGGGGUUGAUUGAUUUUUAUAGGCAUUAGUCAAUAUACACAGUGUGGCCAAGUUCAAAUACACAACUCGACGAGUUGACGAACAUGGGUUUGCGUCCCCCGGCCGGGGGACGCUCGACCACUUUCUCUGAGACACCCGGAAAGCCCGAAUUUCUGGGACAAGUACUCUAAAUGCAUAACAGACUAUUGAUAUCAACCGCUAAAGCCAUGCGCCAAGUGACAGCAGUGACCGGGGGGUUCAUUGCUGCCUCGGUCGACACAGCCAGCUGCUCAGGUGCAUUCCUAUGCUCAGGAAGCAUACACUACAUGCAACUACAUUACUAAAGUAAGUUUACAGCUCAGGAAGCGCGGCGGUCUGAGCUCGGCCGUCAGCGACUGCCGGAGGGUUACUGGGGGGCACGCUGGGGGGGUCAGGGGGUCGGCAAGGUGCGAGGCCGCCCCAAGGACCCCACAGUCCUCACCCCAGACUUCUCGCCCCUGUGUUCCCACGUAAUAAACACCACAUUUGGGAGCUAUUACAAGGCUUUCUGGGCUGGCCAGGGUACAGGGGCCAGGUGGGUGCAGGGGGGGAUUAGGGGGGGGGGGGGGUUAUGGGGGUUGGUGAGGUAAGGG